rnacentral:rRNA from 1 species
UACGUAGGGGCGAGCGUUGUCCGGAUUUACUGGGCGUAAAGCGCGUGUAGGCGGGAGAUUAAGUUGGGUGUGAAAGCCCGGGGCUCAACCCCGGGAUGCCGCCCAAGACUGGUCUCCUUGAGGACGGAAGAGGGGAGUGGAAUUGCCUGGUGUCAGCGGUGAAAUGCGUAGAAGAUCAGGAGGAACACCCGUGGCGAAGGCGGCUCCCUGGUCCGUUCUGACGCUGAGACGCGAAAGCGCGGGAGCGA